CCUGGCAUAUCUAAGUAUAAGAGCUGGGUUCUUACCUCAGUAAUGUGUUGCUACACUGCGAGGG
rnacentral:tRNA from 1 species